GACAAUUGGUGAACACCACAUUGCUCAAUCUUUCGUCGUUCUUCAAAAACAUCUCAAAACAAAUCAAACUAACUUCUCGCCCCCGAGCGAUCGAAACCAAAACAUCAAACACAUCAAAUCAACUCAUCACCCCCGCGUGACCAAAACCUCUUUGAAAGAACACUGUCAAUCCUUUCUAAUGCGCAUAACAAACCAAUGCUUAAGCCUCCGCCGAGAGUAGACAAGCCAGCGUUUAGCCUUUAGAACGCGAUCUACACAGUCGUUCAU
rnacentral:lncRNA from 1 species